CCGGCUAACUCCGUGCCAGCAGCCGCGGUAAUACGGAGGGUGCGAGCGUUAAUCGGAAUUACUGGGCGUAAAGCGCAUGCAGGCGGCCUGUUAAGUCAGAUGUGAAAGCCCGGGGCUUAACCUCGGAAUUGCAUUUGAAACUGGCAGGCUAGAGUCUUGUAGAGGGGGGUAGGAAUUUCAGGUGUAGCGGUGAAAUGCGUAGAGAUCUGAAGGAAUACCAGUGGCGAAGGCGGCCCCCUGGACAAAGACUGACGCUCAGAUGCGAAAGCGUGGGGAGCAAACAGGAUUAGAUACCCUGGUAG
rnacentral:rRNA from 1 species